rnacentral:rRNA from 1 species
ACUCCUACGGGAGGCAGCAGUGGGGAAUAUUGGACAAUGGGCGCAAGCCUGAUCCAGCCAUGCCGCGUGAGUGAUGAAGGCCCUAGGGUUGUAAAGCUCUUUCAGCGAGGAGGAUAAUGACGUUACUCGCAGAAGAACGCCCCGGCUAACUUCGUGCCAGCAGCCGCGGUAAUACGAAGGGGUUAGCGUUGUUCGGAAUCACUGGGCGUAAAGCGCACGUAGGCGGACUUUUAAGUCAGGGGUGAAUCCCGGGGCUCAACCCCGGAACUGCCUUUGAUACUGGAAGUCUUGAGUCCGAGAGAGGUGAGUGGAACUCCGAGUGUAGAGGUGAAAUUCGUAGAUAUUCGGAAGAACACCAGUGGCGAAGGCGGCUCACUGGCUCGGUACUGACGCUGAGGUGCGAAAGCGUGGGAGCAAACAGGAUUAGAUACCCUGGUAGACUGUCA